CUAGCCUUGUCUUGAUCCCUGGAAAUAAAUUUGCCUCCAGUGAAGCCUGCUUGCUUAUGCAGCCUUUGCUUACACUUUUUUCCCCUCAGGGAAUCUGAAAGAUCCAUUUACUCUUUUGCCAGAGCUAAAUAGAAUUGACACAAACACUUUGAGAGCUUCCCUAUUGGUUGGGUGGAACGCAUGACAUUUCCUGAAAAUUCCAUGCUCCUCUCUGGUCUUACCCUGUUACUCCUUUCUUUUUCCACCCAGUGUGAAAACUAUGAUAAAGCGAGAACCCGACUGAGAAGCAGCAGACCUCGCUGACCUUGGGCUCUACGGACACUGGUGAAUAUUAGCAUACUGUGCUCCAAGCUCCUGAUUUAGCAAGAACUGAUCUUCUAGAAAUGGGCCAGGCCCUUGGGUGCAACCUAGGACUCCACAGAGUGGGAGCAGUUUGCGGUGCAUUGAGAAGGUGUCGGCUUCCCACGUGUGGUUGGUGGAAGACGUAUUCUCUUUACCACUGUUUUGAUUCCAAGACGCUCUCAUCUUAACCAGUGGCUGAAGAUGACACUGGGAUGAUCUGUGGGACAGUUUGCCCUUUAAAAUCCAUUGGUUUGGGAAUUAAGAGAUCAGCUGUGUUCAUCCAACUUGAAAGUGAGCUAGAAAAAUAACAUACUUUGCUGGCUUCAUCUCUCAUAAAUCUCUCUUCAGUCUGAAGUGUUGUGCCAGAACUUUCCUCACUGUCACCACCA
rnacentral:lncRNA from 1 species